GAUGAACGCUGGCGGCGUGCCUAACACAUGCAAGUCGAACGAAGCGCCUUACCGGAUUCUUCGGAUGAAGGUCUGGUGACUGAGUGGCGGACGGGUGAGUAACGCGUGGGUAACCUGCCCUGUACAGGGGGAUAACAGCUGGAAACGGCUGCUAAUACCGCAUACGCGCACGAGGAGACAUCUCCUUGUGUGAAAAACUCCGGUGGUACAGGAUGGGCCCGCGUCUGAUUAGCUGGUUGGCAGGGUAACGGCCUACCAAGGCAACGAUCAGUAGCCGGGCUGAGAGGAUGAACGGCCACAUUGGAACUGAGACACGGUCCAAACUCCUACGGGAGGCAGCAGUGGGGAAUAUUGCACAAUGGGGGAAACCCUGAUGCAGCAACGCCGCGUGAGUGAAGAAGUAUUUCGGUAUGUAAAGCUCUAUCAGCAGGGAAGAUAAUGACGGUACCUGACUAAGAAGCUCCGGCUAACUACGUG
rnacentral:rRNA from 1 species